AUUGAACGCUGGCGGCAUGCCUUACACAUGCAAGUCGAACGGCAGCACGGGAGCAAUCCUGGUGGCGAGUGGCGAACGGGUGAGUAAUGUAUCGGAACGUGCCCAUUCGUGGGGGAUAACGUAGCGAAAGCUACGCUAAUACCGCAUACGAUCUAUGGAUGAAAGCGGGGGAUCGCAAGACCUCGCGCGAUUGGAGCGGCCGAUAUCAGAUUAGGUAGUUGGUGGGGUAAAGGCUCACCAAGCCGACGAUCUGUAGCUGGUCUGAGAGGACGACCAGCCACACUGGGACUGAGACACGGCCUAGACUCCUACGGGAGGCAGCAGUGGGGAAUUUUGGACAAUGGGCGCAAGCCUGAUCCAGCAAUGCCGCGUGCAGGAUGAAGGCCUUCGGGUUGUAAACUGCUUUUGUACGGAACGAAACGGCGAGCUCUAAUACAGUUUGCUAAUGACGGUACCGUAAGAAUAAGCACCGGCUAACUACGUGCCAGCCGCCGCCGUAA
rnacentral:rRNA from 1 species